AAGUAUGACUAUUUCAAAGCACCUGUAGCAAAGACCUGCUGGAAUAAAAACAUUUUGGGUUUGAUUUUAUUAUUUUAACAAUGUACUGUUACAAAUGCUACAAAUUUUGAGUGUGCAGUCAGGUUCUAUGGAGUUAUUAAUAGAUAAAGGAUAGCAUUAUUUUUAUUGAGUUCACUACUUUAAAUUCACGUUUCUAUUAACAAGUUUAUAAAUAAUAAAAAACGAAGGAAACUUAUCGCAACAAAACAUAAAUGAUUUAGAACGAAUUGAAUUUACAAAAAAAAUCAGAAUAAUUAUAUAACAGGGAAAAUAAAUCAAAAUUAUA